rnacentral:tRNA from 1 species
GGAGGGCUAGACCUAAUUGGUAAGGCAGCGGACUUGAAAUCCGCCGGGCCAUUAGCGCCCUUCGGGGUUCGAGUCCCCGGCCCUCCG